GACGGAGGAUGCAAGUGUUAUCCGGAAUCACUGGGCGUAAAGCGUCUGUAGGUCGUUUAAAAAGUCUACUGUUAAAAAUUGAAGCUUAACUUCAAAGAUGCCGUAGAAACUUUUAAACUUGAGUAUGGUAGGGUAGAGGGAAUUUCCAGUGGAGCGGUGGAAAUGCGUAGAUAUUGGAAAAGACCACCAAUGGCGAAGGCACUCUACUGGGCCAUUACUGACACUGAGAGACGAAAGCUAGGGGAGCAAAAUGGGG
rnacentral:rRNA from 1 species